GGAGAAUUACCUGAGCCCAGGAGGUUGAGGCUGCAGUAGGUGCCAGAUUGAGACUGUUUAAAAAAAAUUGCGUGGGGAAGACAGCUGAGACAAGGAUAUUAAAUAAGAAGACAUUUUAUAAGCCUGGCCAUUUGAAGAUAUAGGCUUAGACCAGUAGAUUGUAAUUUAAAUUUUACUUUUUUAUUUUCCAACUCUUUAAUCUCUAGGAAUAACUGGAAAUUUUAAGAAGUUACUAUCUCUGCUAUGGGGAUGGAUAGUCAGACAGCAAUGUUCACAAAUUACUCUUGAAACUUGAUGCAAACAACCUGUUUAAAAACUGAUGUAACGAGAGGAAUUUCAUGGAUGCAAAUGAACACCUGUGAAAAUUCUUCGGCAAGAACUGUUUCAUUUAGCAACACCAGGCUGUACAGGAGGCAUGGCUGGGGAGGCCUCAGAAAACUUACAAUCAUGGCAGAAGGUGAAGGGGAAGCCAGCACAUCUUCAUAUGAUGGCAGGAACUUUAUAUGUUAUAGAAGUUAGCCCCAAGAAUGAAAUCGUGUCCUUUGCCAAAACAUGGAUGGAGCUAGAGGCCUUUAUCCUAAGGUGCUCUAUGCUUAGCCCAUCAUAGAUUGUGGCCCUUCAUUCCUGCAUUUGAUGAAUCCAGGGAACCCUCUCUCCAACACCCUUGGCCUCUCUGCAACUUUCUAACAUCAGGCAGAGUCAGAGGCACCAUCCCCAGAAGCUACAAAUCUUCAGCAUUCUCCACUCUGUGAAGUCAGAGGAAUGGCGGGACCAUAGCUCUGAGCUCAUUGGCAAAUACAACUAAUUUCAAUUUCUGGAAUGGAAGCAGUCAGAUAUUCUUCUGACUGCACGCGUAUGUGGGAGUGCCAUGUUGAAGAGUGGAAAAUAUGGAAGAUCAGUCCCUACAAACUUAAUAGGAGAAUGACAUUCAGAUUUCCCGAGUAUUUUGCAUGUCCAACUGAAAACUGAAGUAGGUUUAUGAGAGAAUGCACGCCUACCUGGAUGGGUCUGGGGAGUGUGUCACUGUCACCGCAGAUAAUUGACAAGGGCUGAUCAAAUAGCGAUGCUUUCAAGUCUGUCUCCAAAGCCCCAGAAAAAUCUGAUGCAGGGGAGAGCCUUCUCAUGAGAAAGGGCCAGGACAGCA
rnacentral:lncRNA from 1 species